rnacentral:tRNA from 1 species
GUAGGUAUAGCUCAGUGGUAGAGUGUGUGCUUAGCAUGCAUGAGGUCCUGGGUUCAAUCCCCAGUGUCUCUA